GAUGAAACGCUGGCGGCGUGCCUAAUACAUGCAAGUAGAACGCUGAAAGCUUGGUGCUUGCACCGAGCGGAUGAGUUGCGAACGGGUGAGUAACGCGUAGGUAACCUGCCUCUUAGCGGGGGAUAACUAUUGGAAACGAUAGCUAAUACCGCAUAGAAGUCGACAUUGCAUGAUGUUGAUUUGAAAGGUGCAAUUGCAUCACUAAGAGAUGGACCUGCGUUGUAUUAGCUAGUUGGUGAGGUAACGGCUCACCAAGGCGACGAUACAUAGCCGACCUGAGAGGGUGAUCGGCCACACUGGGACUGAGACACGGCCCAGACUCCUACGGGAGGCAGCAGUAGGGAAUCUUCGGCAAUGGGGGCAACCCUGACCGAGCAACGCCGCGUGAGUGAAGAAGGUUUUCGGAUCGUAAAGCUCUGUUGUAAGAGAAGAACGAGUGUGAGAGUGGAAAGUUCACACUGUGACGGUAACUUACCAGAAAGGGACGGCUAACUACGUGCCAGCAGCCGCGGUAAUACGUAGGUCCCGAGCGUUAUCCGGAUUUAUUGGGCGUAAAGCGAGCGCAGGCGGUUAGAUAAGUCUGAAGUUAAAGGCUGUGGCUUAACCAUAGUACGCUUUGGAAACUGUUUAACUUGAGUGCAGAAGGGGAGAGUGGAAUUCCAUGUGUAGCGGUGAAAUGCGUAGAUAUAUGGAGGAACACCGGUGGCGAAAGCGGCUCUCUGGUCUGUAACUGACGCUGAGGCUCGAAAGCGUGGGGAGCAAACAGG
rnacentral:rRNA from 1 species